rnacentral:lncRNA from 1 species
AUCUUUUUCUGUGUAACAAAUAACCCCUAGAACUUAGACCCUAAAAUAACAAACACGAUGUCAUAGUUUAUUUGGGUGAGGAAUCUGAGUGUGACUUUCCUUGGUCCUCUUGUUCGGGGUCUCACAGGCUGCAAUCAAGGUAUCAGCCAGGACUGCAGUCAGCUCAAGCUUAAGCAGGGAGGAUUAGCUUCCAAGCUCACUCAUGCAUUUGUUGGCAAGAUUCCAUUUCGGGUUGUUGGAACAAAGGCCUCGAAUCCUUGCUGGCUGUCCUAGUUCUUUGCAGCAUGUACCUCUCCAUAGGGCAGGAAACACAUGGCAGCUGGGUUCAGCACAGCAAGCAAGAGAGAAUGUGUAAGAAAAUGCUAGCAAGAUGAGAGCCAUGGUGUUUUGGUAACCUAAAUACAGUUUGCCUUUUGUGUUUGUGGAUUCCUGUGUAUGGAUUUAAUCAACCACUAAUCAACAGUAGAGACUCCAAAAAGCGGUCGUAAUACCAGCAUUUUUAAUAUUACCGCUGGAAGGCUUAGAAGUGUGUCUUUGCAAUGACAAAAUACAUUGAGAAGCAAUUUACAUCCUAAAUAAUUGUGGCUGAAUGAAAAUGGAGAUUGACAAAAAGAUCUUAUCAGUUUUUCUGUUUUGGAAGUUGAGGAAGACGUGUUAUAUUCCUAUAUUAGAAGAUCUAUUUAUGCUGAUUAAUAUGAGCCAGAAGAGAAAAGGGAUGGAUGAUGCAGAAGACACAUAGAGAUCUGAUAAAGUGAAAAUUCUUACAGUGGCAAAAAGAUGGGUUUCAGUAUGCUUUUGUACAUUAGGGAACUCAUUUUCCUCUGGGUGGUUAAAAGAUUGCCAAGGAGAAUUUUAGCAUCGACAGUUUUAAAGGAAUCAAUUUUCAGCAACUCAAUUUUCAUGUGAACUUUUCUAAAGCGAUGUCGCUGAAAAAUUUAUCUAUACUCAGGAUACACUUUUUUGUUCCCAAAAGAAUGGCAUCAUUCAAAAUCUUAAUGUAGUGCAUUAUCCUGUGGUGGAUUACUUCUGGAGUAACAAAUAGCAAGGCUAUCUAACGAUAAUUCAAUAUUUCAGUCUAAAGUUUCUCAUUCUUCAUGUUCCAUCUACAUUUCUCUCUCUCUCUCUUUCUCUGUCUGUCUAUCUAUCUAUCUAUCUAUCUAUCUAUCUAUCUAUCUAAUCUAUCUAUCUACCAAUCUAUCUACCUUUCUAUCUAUCAUCUAUCUGAUCUAUCUCUAGUAAAGUGAAGCCUGGCAUUUAGAAAAGUGGCGUAUUCAUCCAUGUUGAGGUGUUGUGAGUUAAGAUAUAGGUAGGAAUAAAAUGGAAAACACUUUCCUUAAAUAUAUUUUAUAUUCUCCUACUAUUGAUUCCUUUACAACUAUUUCAAUUUAAGAAGAAAAAUGUCAGAUAGUGUGAUAUGAAUCAUGUUUGAGAAAUAUUUCCUUGAGAGUUUGACUAGUGCAACAAAAAAUAUCUGUAAGGGACAAUGAAUGUUAAAAAUGGUUUUAUUCCUGUGCUCGAGCAAAACCUACUCUUUUUAUGUAUUCUCAAUUUUCAGCCCUAGAAUGUGUUAUUAACUUGAAAGAAAAACUCUCCCAAAGAUCUAAAAGUUAUGCUGAUUUUUUAGAAAUAACUAAAGGUUUUCAAGACUACCAAAAUUUCAAGCUACAUGGGACAAUUACCAAUGUAUGGUGUGUGAGGGGAAGACUGUAGUAAGUUUAGAUGUCACUGAAUAUUUUUCACUAAGGGAUUUAAAGCAUUUUAUACUAUACAAAACAAUAAAAUGUCUAUUUUAU